CCUAUUAUGCCUCCCCCACCCCCGCCAAGGGCUCCAGAGGUCCCGCCUGGGUGUUUUAUCCAUUUCCCACCCCCGCCAGAGGCUCCAGAGGUCCCGCCUGGGUCGUCAUGCCUCCCCCACCCCCGCCAAGGGCUCCAGAGGCCCCGCCUGGGUCGUCAUGCCUCUCCCACCCCCGCCAAGGGCUCCAGAGGCCCCGCCUGGCCUGUUAUGCCUCCCCCACCCCCGCCAAGAGCUCCAGAGGUCCCGCCUGUGUGUUUUAUCCAUUUCCCACCCCCGCCAGAGGCUCCAGAGGUCCCGCCUGGGUGUUUUAUCCAUUUCCCACCCCCGCCAAGGGCUCCAGAGGCCCCGCCUGGCUCGUUAUGCCUCCCCUACCCCCGCCAAGGGCUCCAGAGGCCCUGCCUGGCUCGUUAUGCCUUCCCCAUUCCCGCCAAGGGCUCCAAAGGUCCCGCCUAGGUGUAUUGGGCCUCCUGGGGAAAAGAUGAAAUAAAAAUAAAAUGAAGACAGAUGAACAAAAAAAAAAAAAUGGGGAAAAAAUAAUAAUAAAAGAGAAAUAAAAGAAAAAAAAAUAAAUGAAUAAAUACAUUUUAUUGGUUUUUAUUUUAUUUUACUUUAUUUUACUCAACAGAGGGUGGAGGUUUGUCAUUUCUAAGCCAGGCUCCUGUGCAUGAUCCUCGGGUGCAUCAACCAGGCGGGAUCUCUGGUUCUCCACCACUGCCACUUGGCUCAGCUUUUCUGUCCAGC